GACAGAGGUGCCAAGCGUUAGGCGGAAUCACUGGGCUUAAAGCGUGUGUAGGCGGCUCGUUAAGUACCUUGUGAAAUCCCACGGCUCAACCGUGGAACUGCUGGGUAUACUGGCGAUCUUGAGCCACCUAGGGGCAACUGGAACAAGCGGUGGAGCGGUGAAAUGCGUAGAUAUCGCUUGGAACGCCAAUGGUGAAAACAGGUUGCUGGGGGUGUGCUGACGCUGAGACACGAAAGCCAGGGGAGCGAACGGG
rnacentral:rRNA from 1 species